AAUUCCUAAUACAUCAGUGGAGCUAGCACCUAUUUGUAUAGAAAACCCAACAUGUCAUUAUUUUUGAAGACAAAUUUUGGAUUUUGGUGAGAUGACAGUAGCUACAGUCACUAUAUAAGAGGUUUAUUUAUGGAUUUUUGUUUUUCUGUGUUACUUUGCACAGCGAUACAAUGUCCCAGUGGAAAACUUACAGCUGCAGAAAGCCAUCUACAGGGAGCCCUCUUCUAGCACAAGCUUAUCUCCCCAUGUGUCUCAGCAAUGCCAAAACCACUGUUAAGUGCUAGAAGAGUAUGUACACACAAAAGGAAGCACCACUACAAGCACUACCAACCAUCUACGUACAGAGAACGAAGAGGAGAGGGCUCAUGGAAGAGAAACACAAAUGACUGUGAAGACUUCAAGGCGGGGGGGGUGGAGCAGAAAUGUUAAUAAAAGGGAUUAAAGGGAAUCAGAAAGCUCUUAGAGGUUAUCACUGGAAGAGGAGAAGAAAGGAGGCAUCCUAAAAAAAUUAGGCUGAUAAAUCUUCCUUACGUGGUUCUGUGAUAAUUUAUUAUAACAUUAAAAAUUAAAGAAAAUGUAAAAAAACCCAAAAUAACUUACAGGAACUCCAUGUAGAUACAAUAGCUACAGUUUUCAGAAGGGGUUAAAAAUGGCGUAAUAGGGGAAGGAAAACCUUAGCAGGGACUAACUAUGGUUAAGAGAAAUGAGGUGAAACUGAGGAGA